rnacentral:rRNA from 1 species
AUUGAACGCUGGCGGCAUGCCUUACACAUGCAAGUCGAACGGUAACAGGUCUUCGGAUGCUGACGAGUGGCGAACGGGUGAGUAAUACAUCGGAACGUGCCUAGUAGUGGGGGAUAACUACUCGGAAGAGUGGCUAAUACCGCAUGAGAUCUACGGAUGAAAGCGGGGGAUCGCAAGACCUUGUGCUACUAGAGCGGCCGAUGGCAGAUUAGGUAGUUGGUGGGAUAAAAGCUUACCAAGCCGACGAUCUGUAGCUGGUCUGAGAGGACGAUCAGCCAGACUGGGACUGAGACACGGCCCAGACUCCUACGGGAGGCAGCAGUGGGGAAUUUUGGACAAUGGGCGCAAGCCUGAUCCAGCAAUGCCGCGUGCAGGAUGAAGGCCUUCGGGUUGUAAACUGCUUUUGUACGGAACGAAAAGCCCUGGGUUAAUACCCUGGGGUCAUGACGGUACCGUAAGAAUAAGCACCGGCUAACUACGUGCCAGCCGCCGCCGUAACAC